rnacentral:rRNA from 1 species
GAUGAACGCUGGCGGCGUGCCUAAUACAUGCAAGUCGAGCGAACGUACUUGAAGCUUGCUUCUCUGAUGUUAUCGGCGGACGUGUGAGUAACACGUGGUUAACCUACCUAUAAGAUUGGGUUAACUUCGGGAAACCGGUGCUAAUACCUGAUAAUAUUUUGAUCCGCAUGGUUCAAAAGUGAAAGACGGUCUUGCUGUCACUUAUAGAUGGAUCCGGGCUGCAUUAGAUACUUGGUAGGGUAACGGAUUACCAAGGCAACGAUGCAUAGCCGACCUGAGAGGGUAAUCGGACACACUGGAACUGAAACGAGGUCCAGACUCCUACGGGAGGCAGCAGUAGGGAAUCUUACACAAUGGGCGAAAGCCUAACGGAGCAACGCCGCGUGAGUGAUAAAGGUCUUCGGAUAGUAAAACUCUGUUAUUAGGGAAGAACAUAUGUGUAAGUAACUGUGCACAUCUUGACGGUACCUAAUCAGAAAGCCACGGCUAACUACGUG